CAAUUGAUUCGUGGAUCUGAAGAUAUUCCAGAAUCAGAUAUAGCUCAAGCAUGCAGAAGGCUGUUAGAUGAGAGGCAGAGUAUGAAUGUUUGGCGCUUUCUUCAAGCCAUUGAUGGGAGACCUGAUAUCACACACGGAUUGAAGACACUGAAAUGUCGAACCCUCAUAUUUGUCGGGGAUGAUUCUCCUUUCCAUUCGGAGGCUCUCCACAUGACUGCUAAAUUAGAUCGAAGAUUCAGUGCCCUAGUUGAGGUACGUCAUCAAUUUUAUGUUUAACGACACACCAUUUCAAUUUAUUGUGAAGUGCUAUGAAUUCCUUGUGUAGUUAAAUAUUUAUUCAUAUUUAGCUAUCUUGGCUAUUACUGUUUAAAUAUCAAAUAACCAACCAACUGUGCCUCUCCGAAAUCAGUUGGGUCAGAUAUAUUACUCUAUAUCUAUUCCACUUUAUUUAGUCCAUUUCAUUCUAAUACAACAUUUGCCUGUUAAAAGUCUCACUCAUGUCUAC